GAUGAACGCUGGCGGCGUGCCUAAUACAUGCAAGUCGAGCGAACGGACGAGAAGCUUGCUUCUCUGAUGUUAGCGGCGGACGGGUGAGUAACACGUGGAUAACCUACCUAUAAGACUGGGAUAACUUCGGGAAACCGUAGCUAAGACCGGAUAAUAUUUUGAACCGCAUGGUUCAAAAGUUAAAGACGGUCUUGCUGUCACUUAUAGAUGGAUCCGCGCUGCAUUCGCUAGUUGGUAAGGUAACGGCUUAACAAGGCAACGAUGCAUAGCCGACCUGAGAGGGUGAUUGGACACCCUGGAAGUGAGAAACGGUCCCCACUCCUACGGGAGGAAGCAGCAGGGAAUCUUCCGCAAUGGGCGAAAGCGUGACGUAGCACCGCGGCGUGAGUGCUGAACGUCUUCGGCUCGUAAAGUUAUGUUAUUAGGGAAGAACAUAUGUGCAAGUAACUGUGCACAUAUUGACGGUACCUAAUCAGAAAGCCACGGCUAACUCCGCG
rnacentral:rRNA from 1 species